UUUAUGGAGAGUUUGAUCCUGGCUCAGGAUGAACGCUGGCGGCGUGCCUAAUACAUGCAAGUCGAGCGAACGGACGAGAAGCUUGCUUCUCUGAUGUUAGCGGCGGACGGGUGAGUAACACGUGGAUAACCUACCUAUAAGACUGGGAUAACUUCGGGAAACCGGAGCUAAUACCGGAUAAUAUUUUGAACCGCAUGGUUCAAAAGUGAAAGACGGUCUUGCUGUCACUUAUAGAUGGAUCCGCGCUGCAUUAGCUAGUUGGUAAGGUAACGGCUUACCAAGGCAACGAUGCAUAGCCGACCUGAGAGGGUGAUCGGCCACACUGGAACUGAGACACGGUCCAGACUCCUACGGGAGGCAGCAGUAGGGAAUCUUCCGCAAUGGGCGAAAGCCUGACGGAGCAACGCCGCGUGAGUGAUGAAGGUCUUCGGAUCGUAAAACUCUGUUAUUAGGGAAGAACAUAUGUGUAAGUAACUGUGCACAUCUUGACGGUACCUAAUCAGAAAGCCACGGCUAACUACGUGCCAGCAGCCGCGGUAAUACGUAGGUGGCAAGCGUUAUCCGGAAUUAUUGGGCGUAAAGCGCGCGUAGGCGGUUUUUUAAGUCUGAUGUGAAAGCCCACGGCUCAACCGUGGAGGGUCAUUGGAAACUGGAAAACUUGAGUGCAGAAGAGGAAAGUGGAAUUCCAUGUGUAGCGGUGAAAUGCGCAGAGAUAUGGAGGAACACCAGUGGCGAAGGCGACUUUCUGGUCUGUAACUGACGCUGAUGUGCGAAAGCGUGGGGAUCAAACAGGAUUAGAUACCCUGGUAGUCCACGCCGUAAACGAUGAGUGCUAAGUGUUAGGGGGUUUCCGCCCCUUAGUGCUGCAGCUAACGCAUUAAGCACUCCGCCUGGGGAGUACGACCGCAAGGUUGAAACUCAAAGGAAUUGACGGGGACCCGCACAAGCGGUGGAGCAUGUGGUUUAAUUCGAAGCAACGCGAAGAACCUUACCAAAUCUUGACAUCCUUUGACAACUCUAGAGAUAGAGA
rnacentral:rRNA from 1 species